rnacentral:rRNA from 1 species
CACGAACGCUGGCGGCAGGCUUAACACAUGCAAGUCGAGCGCCCCGCAAGGGGAGCGGCAGACGGGUGAGUAACGCGUGGGAAUCUACCCAUCUCUACGGAAUAACGCAUGGAAACGUGUGCUAAUACCGUAUACGUCCUUCGGGAGAAAGAUUUAUCGGAGAUGGAUGAGCCCGCGUUGGAUUAGCUAGUUGGUGGGGUAAAGGCCUACCAAGGCGACGAUCCAUAGCUGGUCUGAGAGGAUGAUCAGCCACACUGGGACUGAGACACGGCCCAGACUCCUACGGGAGGCAGCAGUGGGGAAUAUUGGACAAUGGGCGCAAGCCUGAUCCAGCCAUGCCGCGUGAGUGAUGAAGGCCCUAGGGUUGUAAAGCACUUUCACCGGUGAAGAUAAUGACGAUAACCGGAGAAGAAGCCCCGGCUAACUUCGUGCCAGCAGCCGCGGUAAAAC